rnacentral:rRNA from 1 species
ACUUCGGUCUGGUGGCGAGUGGCGAACGGGUGAGUAAUGUAUCGGAACGUACCUUUCAGUGGGGGAUAACGUAGCGAAAGUUACGCCAAUACCGCAUAUUCUGUGAGCAGGAAAGCAGGGGAUCGCAAGACCUUGCGCUGAUUGAGCGGCCGAUAUCAGAUUAGCUAGUUGGUGAGGUAAAGGCUCACCAAGGCGACGAUCUGUAGCGGGUCUGAGAGGAUGAUCCGCCACACUGGAACUGAGACACGGCCCAGACUCCUACGGGAGGCAGCAGUGGGGAAUUUUGGACAAUGGGGGCAACCCUGAUCCAGCCAUGCCGCGUGAGUGAAGAAGGCCUUCGGGUUGUAAAGCUCUUUCGGCCGGGAAGAAAUCGCAUGGGCUAAUACCCUGUGCGGAUGACGGUACCGGCAUAAGAAGCACCGGCUAACUACGUGCCAGCAGCCGCGGUAAUACGUAGGGUGCGAGCGUUAAUCGGAAUUACUGGGCGUAAAGCGUGCGCAGGCGGUUUUUUAAGACAGGCGUGAAAUCCCCGGGCUCAACCUGGGAACUGCGCUUGUGACUGGAAGGCUAGAGUAUGGCAGAGGGGGGUGGAAUUCCACGUGUAGCAGUGAAAUGCGUAGAGAUGUGGAGGAACACCAAUGGCGAAGGCAGCCCCCUGGGCCAAUACUGACGCUCAUGCACGAAAGCGUGGGUAGCGAACAGGAUUAGAUACCCUGGUAGUCCACGCCCUAAACGAUGUCAACUAGGUGUUGGGUGGGUAAAACCAUUUA